GUGAUGUUGGGGGUGCUUAGCAAAGCAGUGCAGGAAGCCAACUUUUAUAGCGCAUCCAUAGGAAGCGUCUCCACUACAGCCUUUCACCACGCAGCAGAGAGACUGAAGAUGUAGGCAGCUGGCAAAUGUGAAAGUGAUGAAGGGGUGUUGUGAGGCUGACAGUGCUUUUUAUAGAGCGUGUGUUUUCUGGGAAGGACGUAAGAAGGGAGAUAAACAAGUGAUGACUGUGGCAAGCUGAGAAAUAGCUGCAGCAGACCAAGAUGUGCCAAGGAGAAGAUCCCUGCAAAAAGGACCACAUUUGGGUUGAACAGGACCACACAACCUGGUGUUUUGGAAAAUACGACCCUGGAAGCUGAAAUAUAUAUCUUAACUCUGGG
rnacentral:lncRNA from 1 species